GUAAUCGCGGAUCAGAAUGCCGCGGUGAAUACGUUCCCGGGUCUUGUACACACCGCCCGUCACACCAUGGGAGUCGGAGAUACCCGAAGCCUGUGAGCUAACUUUUAGAGGCAGCAGUCGAAGGUAGAAUCAAUGAUUGGGGUGAAGUCGUAACAAGGUAGC
rnacentral:rRNA from 1 species